rnacentral:rRNA from 1 species
UACAGAGGUCUCGAGCGUUAGGCGGAAUCACUGGGCUUAAAGCGUGUGUAGGCGGAUUGCUAAGUACCUUGUGAAAUCCCACGGCUUAACCGUGGAACUGCUUGGUAUACUGGCUGUCUUGAGCCACUUAGGGGCAACCGGAACAAACGGUGGAGCGGUGAAAUGCGUAGAUAUCGUUUGGAACGCCAAUGGUGAAAACAGGUUGCUGGGAGUGUGAUGACGCUGAGACACGAAAGCCAGGGGAGCAAACGGG